rnacentral:rRNA from 1 species
CGUCUAUAUACGUAUAGCAUAUCAAUAAGCGGAGGAAAAGAAACUAACUAGGAUUCCCUUAGUAACGGCGAGUGAAGCGGGAAGAGCUCAAAUUUGAAAUCUUCAAGGUUCUACCUUGACGAAUUGUAGUUUAAAGAAGUGUUUUCUGUUGGAGUUUUGGUAAAAGUUCUUUGGAAUAGGACGUCAUAGAGGGUGAGAAUCCCGUAUUUGACCAUUUCUUCCAGCUGUGUGAUACACUUUCAAAGAGUCGGAUUGUUUGGGAAUGCAGUCCAAAAUGGGUGGUAAAUUUCAUCUAAAGCUAAAUAUUGGCGAGAGACCGAUAGCGAACAAGUACCGUGAGGGAAAGAUGAAAAGAACUUUGAAAAGAGAGAUAAACAGUACGUGAAAUUGUCAAAAGGGAAGCGUUUGACACCAGUGUUGUUUUCUCGAGAAUCAAUUAAAAAUGACCGGAUUUUGUGUUGUAUUGACUUUAUCAGCUUUCUGCACUUUUUUCUUGUCUUUUUUAAUGCACUUUUCGUUUAACAAGUCAACAUCAAUUUCUUUUGUUGUAAAAGAGUCAUUGGAAGGUGGCUUUCACUUCGGUGAAAGUGUUUAUAGCCUUUGGCUUCUGCAAUCGGAGAGAUUGAGGUCUGCAGCGUAGAUCCUUCGGGGUUAGAUACAUUUGUGCUAAGUUAUAGUUUUUCAUAGACAACAUGUUGACUAUGAUUAAUCAUGUAGCUUACUCGCUUAUGCUAUUUUACCUACGCUUAGGAUGUUGAUAUGCAUGACUGAUAU